UAAACAAUGCAGCCUCAAUGAGACACAAGCCAGUGUCCUACUUGUGCCGGUCCCAAGCCCGGGGAAAUGCAGAGGGUAAC
rnacentral:sRNA from 1 species